GUACGGGUGCGGAACACGUGUGCAACGUGCCUUUAUCAGGGGGAUAGCCUUUCGAAAGGAAGAUUAAUACCCCAUAAUAUAUAGAGUGGCAUCACUUUAUAUUGAAAACUGAGGUGGAUAAAGAUGGUGCACGCGCAAGAUUAGAUACUUGGUGAGGUAACGGCUCACCAAGUCGAUGAUCUUUAGGGGGCCUGACAGGGUGAUCCCCCACACUGGUACUGAGACACGGACCACACUCCUACGGGAGGCAGCAGGGAGGAAUAUUGGACAAUGGGUUAUCGCCUGAUCCACCCAUCCCGCGGGAAGGACGACGGCCCUAUGGGUUGUAAACUUCUUUUGUACAGGGAUAAACCUAUUUACGUGUAAAUAUCUGAAGGUACUGUACGAAUAGGCACCGGCUAACUCCGUGCCAGCAGCCGCGGCAAUACGGAGGGUGCAAGCGUUAUCCGGAUUUAUUGGGUUUAAAGGGCCCGUAGGCGGAUCUGUAAGUCAUUGGUGAAAUCUCACAGCUUAACUGUGAAACUGCCAUGGAUACUGCAGGUCUUGAGUAAUGUAGAAGUGGCUGGAAUAAGUAGUGUACCGGUGAAAUGCAUAUAUAUUACUUACAACACCGAUUGCUAAUGCAGGUCACUAUGUCUUAACUGACGCUGAUGGACGAGAGCGUGGGGAGCGAACAGGAUUAGAUACCCUGGUACUCCACGCUGUCUACGAUGCUAACUCGUUUUUGGGUUAUCGGAUUCACAGACUAAUCGAUAGUGAUAAGUUAGCCACCUGGCGAGUACGAACGCAAGCUUUGAAACUCACACGAAUUGACGGCGGCCCGCCUAGCGGUGGAUUAUGUGGAUUAAUUCGAUGAUACGCUAGGAACCUUACCAUGGCUUAGAUGGCAAUUGAUCAGUUUACAAAUACACCUUCCUUCGGGCAUUCUCAAGUGCUGCAUGNNUGGCUUAUCUCGUGCCAUGAAAGGUUACGUCAGUACUGCACCAUCCUA
rnacentral:rRNA from 1 species